GACGGGGGGGCAAGUGUUCUUCGGAAUGACUGGGCGUAAAGGGCACGUAGGCGGUGAAUCGGGUUUGAAAGUGAAAGUCGCCAAAAAAGUGGCGGGAAUGCUCUCGAAACCAAUUCACUUGAGUGAGACAGAGGAGAGUGGAAUUUCGUGUGGUAGGGGUGAAAUCCGUAGAUCUACGAAAGGAAACGCCAAAAAGCGAA
rnacentral:rRNA from 1 species